UACAGAGGUCCCAAGCGUUACUGAGAUUCACUGGGUUUAAAGGGUGCGUAGGUGGCGCGUUAAGUCAGUUGUGAAAUCCCCGGGCUCAACCCGGGAAAAGCUUCUGAUACUGGCGCGCUUGAGGUCGGUAUAGGCUACUGGAACGGACGGUGGAGCGGUGAAAUGCGUAGAUAUCGUCUGGAACGCCAGUGGUGAAGACGGGUAGCUGGGCCGAUUCUGACACUGAGGCACGAAAGCGUGGGGAGCGAACGGGAUUAGAUACCCCGGUAGUCCACGCCCUAAACAAUGCAGACUAGAUUGCAGCGGGUCUGACCCCGUUGCGGUCGAAGAGAAAUUGAUAAGUCUGCCACCUGGGAAGUACGGUCGCAAGGCUAAAACUCA
rnacentral:rRNA from 1 species